rnacentral:rRNA from 1 species
CCUACGGGUGGCAGCAGUAGGGAAUAUUGCACAAUGGUGGAAACCCUGAUGCAGCGACGCCGCGUGAGGGAAGAAGGUUUUCGGUAUGGAAACUUCUAUCAGCCAGGAAGCAAAUGACGGUACGUGACUACGCAUCCCCGGCUAACUCCAUGCCAGCAGCCGCAGUAAUACGGAGGGGGCAAUCGUUAUCCGGAUUUACUGGGUGUAAAGGGGGCGUAGGCGGUUUAGCAAGUCAGAAGUGAAAGCCCGGGGCUCAACCCCGGGACUGCUUUUGAAACUGUUGAACUAGAUUGCAGGAGAGGUAAGUGGAAUUCCCAGUGUAGCGGUGAAAUGCGUAGAUAUCAGGAGGAACACCAGUGGCGAAGGCGGCUUACUGGACUGUAAAUGACGCUGAGGCUCGAAAGCGUGGGGAGCAAACAGGAUUAGAUACCCCAGUAGUC